UACGAAGGGGGCUAGCGUUGCUCGGAAUCACUGGGCGUAAAGGGUGCGUAGGCGGGUCUUUAAGUCAGGGGUGAAAUCCUGGAGCUCAACUCCAGAACUGCCUUUGAUACUGAAGAUCUUGAGUUCGGGAGAGGUGAGUGGAACUGCGAGUGUAGAGGUGAAAUUCGUAGAUAUUCGCAAGAACACCAGUGGCGAAGGCGGCUCACUGGCUCGACACUGACGCUGAGGUGCGAAAGCGUGGGGAGCAAACAGG
rnacentral:rRNA from 1 species